CGUCCCCUGCCGAGGAGGGUCAGAGCCGCCGAGGCCAUGCCCUGCGCAACAACACCGGCGCUGCCGGCACGGCAGUGUGAUAAAGUGUAACCAGGUUGUAAAUGGAUGGGUGAAUAGCACGGUCAAGUCAUGGGAAUACUGUAUAAUGGAAGAGCUGUGGACCGGUCAAACUGAGUCGUGUUCCAUAGUAAGAGAAAGUUGAAGCUCUUUUUAGGCUAUCCACGAGAACCUUUUUAAGGGCACUCAAUCUAGUCAUGUUCGUGCUUUUGAGACUGAAGUGCCCUCAACUAUCAAAUUUCUAUUCCCCCUAGAGCUCCUCACCAGUCCCUCUAGGGUGCUUCUCAGGCAUUGCCAAGCACUUGUGAAGAGGCACUGGGAUUCACAGCAAGACCUGCUCCACAUGCCUGCCCCAUGCCUGCCUCUUGCCUCACCCUCUCCGAGACAACCCCUUCCUCCAUCGUGCACUGUGAAGGGGAUCUGCAUGGGGGAGACUCUCCAUGGAUACAUGAUAAUGAAUGAAAACAUUCUUAUGGGAAACUUGUAACUUUUCUCUGUAAAUCACUAUAUUAGAUGUGGAAUUAGCUGCUUGUAGGCAAUGGAGCUGUUCCUUUAGCAAGCACCAAAUACAAACAGGGUACAGUUUGCACAACAUGUCCCCAGUUCUCUUUAUAAUAAUUCAGCUAUUGAGAAUGGGGAACAAAAAUAAAGAACUUGAUCCAUACCUUUAUAUUUGAGAAUACCACAGCUGACACAUUGGGGAUUAUGCCUGGAAAAUCCAGCCUGGUGUCUGCCUCAAGAUCUUCAGACCUACUUAAAGGUUUCAAAUACCAUGGGCUGCUAUCUGCGCUAGAGACUGACACAUGUUCUUAUCAGAUACUGUCCCUUGUUUGAGAAACAUUGUUUUAGGUAAUGCAGAUAUGAAUGAUACACCACCUCUUUCAACUAGGGGAUAAAAAAAUGCUCACCCACCUUCAAGAAACAAAUACCGAUCCCUACGGUACACCCAAGAAGUCAGAGAAUAAUAUGUGGUAGAGAGAAAAGCAAGAAUAGUCUGGGGACAAAAUGGAAAUUUAGUGAUUCAUAGAUGCAGCUUUCCUUGGAACAAACCAGAACACUGUAUAGAUAUAGAUUUCUCCAUCUUUUUUAAAUAGUUCUGUUGAAUUUCAUUAUUCACAGGGCAGUAGAAAAUGUGUGUUUUGAAAUUCAGUAGUAAAUAAAAUCAGGAAAAUUGAGGCUAUAAUUCUAUGACCUCAUUGCACUUUGGCAUCUCAUUAUGCAUUUCAAAACUGCAUAGAAAAAGGAUGCAUACAAAAACGUGUGAAAAAAAAGAGGGAAAAAGUAAACAAAGAAACAAAUACCACAAAAGAAGCAGUGUAGCGUUUUGUGCAGACUGCAUAAAGCAUUAAGCAUCAUACACUAAUGGAAUAUUUUCCGGAAUUCAGCUUUAAAUUCAGAAAUAUAAUUGGGGAAUGAAGUGGGAGAACUUGUGGCACACUGGAUUUCUACUGGCUUGAAGCAUGGACUGCUCCCCUAAAAUUCAGAAUUCCGUCUCUGGCUCUCUGCUCAGCUGAAUCCCAUUUUCUUCACUGUAUCUAGUGAAGUGUCGUUCAUAAUAUCAGGAGUACGUUCAUACAACAGCAGCUCCAUAUCACUAGGAACAUUGACCAAAUGCUGAUACCAAAUUUCCAUAAGCAGAUUUUAAAUAUGAUAGGUCUAGGCUUGAUGGACAUUCACCAUGAGAGUGGACUGCUGAAAUGGUUGCCUGAUACACUGAGUUUGCAUGGCAAGGUUUUAGUAGUGAAGGGCUGCAGGAGUGGCUUCUAUGAGAGGACAUCAGGAACUGUCAGCAGGCUCCGAGAUGGACCUGCCGCUGGCCAAAGCCAAGCCCCUUAGCAAUGUUGGUAGCACCUCUGUGAUAACAUAUUUAAGAAAGGAUAAAAAAGUGCUGAGCAAUAGCUGUGAUGGAGAGGAAUGAGAAAAAAGAGAAAAACAGCUCUGCAGACACCAAG